CGACAGAGCGAGACUCCGUCGCAAAAAACAAAACAAAACAAUACAAAAAAGUAAAUCCUGGAGCACCAUUUGAGCGUUUUGGACUGAGCUGCUUUCUAUGGCAGUUCAUCUAAGCACCUGGAAUGGAUAAAAGUGGCAGUUUUUGUUUCUUCCCAUGAGGUUGUGUAUCUGGACUGAGAACCAGGAAAUUAAUCUAGACUAAGACAUUUCUAAGGACCUGGAAUGGCUUUGGGGAGCACCAGGAGGACCCGAAAAGAGUAUUUGAGGGCCUAGAGGGACAGAAGAGUUUGCCAGUAGGAUUUAUGAGAAACAAUUGAUCAGAAACAGCAGCAGAGAAACCUUUUAGAUUUCUUCUGUGGAAAAGUUGAGUCUUGGUUCAAAUUAAGUAAAAUAAACACUGAAGAGAAAUCAAAAUCUCAAAUAUAAAAAGUAUGUUACUUAUAGUGUAAAUUUAGGAAAACAAAUGAAAGGACAGAUCUUUAAAAAUUUUUAACUAUGGUGAAAUAUUUGUAAAACUUUUGGGCUCAUCUCUGAGAAUUGCUGUGAUUCUGAAACUUGAUAAUAUCUCAAAUAGAGAACAGUUUCAGUGAAAAAUAGCACUUGAGAAUAAAUCAGAUGUUCCCAAGAAAGAAGAUCUGAGAAUGGUAAAGUGCCACUGACAAAUAAAUUAUUUACAUACUUACAUAUUACCUUGGCAAACACAAGAGACAUUCAAGUUAAAGCACGGUGCUUGACAAUACUAUAUUGAAUGCAAUAAAAGUUGGAUUUCAUUCAUAUGUACAACAAACUACUUUCUUCUUC
rnacentral:lncRNA from 1 species